AUUGAACGCUGGCGGCAGGCCUAACACAUGCAAGUCGAACGGUAGCACAGAGAGCUUGCUCUCGGGUGACGAGUGGCGGACGGGUGAGUAAUGUCUGGGAAACUGCCUGAUGGAGGGGGAUAACUACUGGAAACGGUAGCUAAUACCGCAUAACGUCGCAAGACCAAAGAGGGGGACCUUCGGGCCUCUUGCCAUCAGAUGUGCCCAGAUGGGAUUAGCUAGUAGGUGGGGUAACGGCUCACCUAGGCGACGAUCCCUAGCUGGUCUGAGAGGAUGACCAGCCACACUGGAACUGAGACACGGUCCAGACUCCUACGGGAGGCAGCAGUGGGGAAUAUUGCACAAUGGGCGCAAGCCUGAUGCAGCCAUGCCGCGUGUAUGAAGAAGGCCUUCGGGUUGUAAAGUACUUUCAGCGGGGAGGAAGGUGUUGUGGUUAAUAACCACAGCAAUUGACGUUACCCGCAGAAGAAGCACCGGCUAACUCCGUGCCAGCCGCCGCCGUAA
rnacentral:rRNA from 1 species